UGUUGUAACAAGUUUUAUGGGUAUAGAAACUUGAGGUUGGUCUAAACUUAAAAAAUUGGUCGGCGGUGAUUUUGAUUGAUAUCUCCAAAAAAAUUAAUUGAUUUUAAUUGUGAGUCCAAAAGAAAAUAAUUAGUUGUAAGAUUUUGAUGGGUGAGUCAAUGAAAACCAACUAACUUAGAUUAUAAACCCCUGAAAAUAAUCAGACUAUAAUAAUGAAGAGGUUAUAGUUGGAAUUCUAGAGUAGGUUUGCUUGGAGAGUGGACGUAAAUGUUGAAUUUAACACCGAAUCACUAUAAAAUUUUUUGAAUUUAUGAUUCUUUAUUUUACUUGUUUUCUUAAUUUUGUUGCCUUCAUUCAUUAUUUGCUUAUUGUUUUACAAAUACUGUUUGAAAUAUUUUUGGGCACAAUUAGUUAAAAUUUUUUUUUUUUAAGAUAUCCAAUUCAACCACCCCACCACACCCCCUCCCCCCGCCGGGGUUGCUGCCUUUGGGAAACACAAAAUAUGGUAGGGUUGAUUUUAUUGGUUAAGGUUGGUGGAUUAUAUUAGAUAGACUAGUGCUUAGAUUGGAUAAACUAGGUUUUGUUGCAAUGUAAGGAAGUCAAUCCCUUUGCAUCCCAAUGGUGUCUACAAUAUGCCCUCCUUUGAAAGAGGCCACAAAAAUGGGUGAAUGUCAAAGCAAAGGAUGACAAGACCUAGCAAUAGAGGUAAAAGGAAGCAACAACUCCUAGACAGGUUUGCCUUGAUUAUUGUCUUCAAAACUGCAUGAUGAUGCGGUGUAAAUGUUAAUACAAAUGUUAAUGCCAAUGUAAAAGCUAUAUUCAAAGACAUGGUAAAAGAAUAAGAGUUUGUCUGUAUUGAUGUAGAGCUGGACUCGAGGGAUGAAAAGCUUAUUAGCCAUCUAGUACAUAGACAAAUCCAAAGAGAUAUUGACUGAUAUUUCAGUCAGACCAUUAGGCUAUGCUGGGACUCGCAUUACAUGACUGCAUAUAUAACUUGAUAAUAAGUGUCAUCAACCACUUAGUGUGGAGUAUGAUCCUCAAGCAUAACUUAUUUUAGCCUUUGCUUGAAACCAUAAUUGAAAUACAUGCCAUAUUGUGGUGUAUUGUUGUGAUUUUAAGAAGGUCGAUGCAAUAUUUUUAUGACUUUCGGGGCAAUUUCUACAAAAGUGCAGGAGCAGUCAUUGUUAACGUUCUGCAAACCUAGAACGGCAGAACAAAUACCAACUAGUGUCAUUAUUAUUAUAGAGUGAACCCUUCCAAAAAGCGUAAGAACACCACUAGCUUGUUAGGGUUCACCAGGAAAAGAGUACUUUUGGGUUCCUUAAAAUCUUUUGCAACUUUUU
rnacentral:lncRNA from 1 species